rnacentral:rRNA from 1 species
AUUGAACGCUGGCGGAAUACUUUACACAUGCAAGUCGAACGGCAGCACGGGGGCAACCCUGGUGGCGCGUGGCGAACGGGUGAGUAAUACAUCGGAACGUGCCCAGUCGUGGGGGAUAACGUAGCGAAAGUUACGCUAAUACCGCAUACGAUCUACGGAUGAAAGCGGGGGACCGUAAGGCCUUGCGCGAUUGGACCGGCCGAUGUCCGAUUAGGUAGUUGGUGAGGUAAAGGCUCACCAAGCCGACGAUCUGUAGCUGGUCUGAGAGGACGACCAGCCACACUGGGACUGAGACACGGCCCAGACUCCUACGGGAGGCAGCAGUGGGGAAUUUUGGACAAUGGGCGCAUGCCUGAUCCAGCCAUUCCGCGUGCAGGACGAAGGCCUUCGGGUUGUAAACUGCUUUUGUACGGAACGAAAAGGCUCUGGUUAAUACCUGGGGCUCAUGACGGUACCGUAAGAAUAAGCACCGGCUAACUACGUGCCAGCCGCCGCAGUAA